UACGUAGGGUGCAAGCGUUGUCCGGAAUUAUUGGGCGUAAAGGGCUCGUAGGCGGUCCGUCACGUCGGGAGUGAAAACUUGGGGCUUAACCCCAAGCCUGCUUCCGAUACGGGCGGACUAGAGGUAGGCAGGGGAGAACGGAAGUUCCUGGUGGUAGCGGUGAAAUGCGCAGAUAUCGUAAGGAAGACCAGUGGCGAAGGCGG
rnacentral:rRNA from 1 species